ACUGUUCAGUGAUGAGGCACCGCAAGAAGCGCCGUGCACGGCGCCCGACCCGGAUGAGGAAACCUUGCUGCCUGCCUUCUGAGAACAGC